rnacentral:rRNA from 1 species
AUUGAACGCUGGCGGCAGGCCUAACACAUGCAAGUCGAACGGUAACAGGAAGCAGCUUGCUGCUUUGCUGACGAGUGGCGGACGGGUGAGUAAUGUCUGGGAAACUGCCUGAUGGAGGGGGAUAACUACUGGAAACGGUCGCUAAUACCGCAUAACGUCGCAAGACCAAAGAGGGGGACCUUCGGGCCUCUUGCCAUCGGAUGUGCCCAGAUGGGAUUAGCUAGUAGGUGGGGUAACGGCUCACCUAGGCGACGAUCCCUAGCUGGUCUGAGAGGAUGACCAGCCACACUGGAACUGAGACACGGUCCAGACUCCUACGGGAGGCAGCAGUGGGGAAUAUUGCACAAUGGGCGCAAGCCUGAUGCAGCCAUGCCGCGUGUAUGAAGAAGGCCUUCGGGUUGUAAAGUACUUUCAGCGGGGAGGAAGGGAGUAAAGUUAAUACCUUUGCUCAUUGACGUUACCCGAAGAAGAAGCACCGGCUAACUCCGUG